GAUGAAGAACGUAGCGAAAUGCGAUAAGUAAUGUGAAUUGCAGAAUUCAGUGAAUCAUCGAAUCUUUGAACGCACAUUGCGCCCUUUGGCUAUUCCGAAGGGCAUGCCUGUUUGAGUAUCGUGAACACCUCAACUCUCAUGGUUUGCCAUGAUGAGCUUGGACUUGGGGGUUUUGCUGGCCUUCGGUCGGCUCCUCUCAAACGGAUCAGCUUUCCAGUGUUUGGUGGCGUCACGGGUGUGAUAACUAUCUACGCCUGUGGUUUUCUGCCAGAUAACCUUCAGCGAUGGAGGUUCGCUGGGGCUCAUAAAUGUCUCUCUUCAGUGGAGACAGCUUUUUGGACGUUUGAUCUCAAAUCAGGUAGGACUACCCGCUGAACUUAAGCAUAUCAAUAAGCGGAGGA
rnacentral:misc_RNA from 1 species